AGCAGUAGCCGCGGUAAUACGUAGGUGGCAAGCGUUGUCCGGAAUUAUUGGGCGUAAAGGGCUCGCAGGCGGUUUCUUAGGUCUGAUGUGAAAGCCCCCGGCUCAACCGGGGAGGGUCAUUGGAAACUGGGAAACUUGAGUGCAGAAGAGGAGAGUGGAAUUCCACGUGUAGCGGUGAAAUGCGUAGAGAUGCGGAGGAACACCAGUGGCGAAGGCGGCUCUCUGGUCUGUAACUGACGCUGAGGAGCGAAAGCGUGGGGAGCGAUCAGGAUUAGAUACCCGUGUAGUCCCUGUCUCUUAUAC
rnacentral:rRNA from 1 species